UAGAGUUUGAUCAUGGCUCAGGAUGAACGCUGGCGGCGUGCUUAACACAUGCAAGUCGAACGAACCUUCGGGUUAGUGGCGGACGGGUGAGUAACGCGUGAGAAUCUGCCCUCAGGAGGGGGAUAACAGUUGGAAACGACUGCUAAUACCCCAUAUGCCGAGAGGUGAAACGAAUUUUGCCUGGGGAUGAGCUCGCGUCUGAUUAGCUUGUUGGUGGGGUAAAAGCCUACCAAGGCUUCGAUCAGUAGCUGGUCUGAGAGGACGAUCAGCCACACUGGGACUGAGACACGGCCCAGACUCCUACGGGAGGCAGCAGUGGGGAAUUUUCCGCAAUGGGCGCAAGCCUGACGGAGCAACGCCGCGUGAGGGAUGAAGGCCUUUGGGCUGUAAACCUCUUUUCUCAAGGAAGAAGACCUGACGGUACUUGAGGAAUAAGCCACGGCUAAUUCCGUGCCAGCAGCCGCGGUAAUACGGGAGUGGCAAGCGUUAUCCGGAAUUAUUGGGCGUAAAGCGUCCGCAGGCGGCCGUUUAAGUCUGUUGUUAAAUCGUGGAGCUCAACUCCAUCACGGCAAUGGAAACUGUUCGGCUUGAGUAUGGUAGGGGCAGAGGGAAUUUCCGGUGUAGCGGUGAAAUGCGUAGAUAUCGGGAAGAACACCAGUGGCAAAAGCGCUCUGCUGGGCCAUUACUGACGCUCAUGGACGAAAGCCAGGGGAGCGAAAGGGAUUAGAUACCCCUGUAGUCCUGGCCGUAAACGAUGAACACUAGAUGUUGGGGGAAUCGACCCCUCCGGUGUCGUAGCUAACGCGUUAAGUGUUCCGCCUGGGGAGUACGCACGCAAGUGUGAAACUCAAAGGAAUUGACGGGGGCCCGCACAAGCGGUGGAGUAUGUGGUUUAAUUCGAUGCAACGCGAAGAACCUUACCAAGGCUUGACAUCCUGCGAAUCUCCAAGAAAUUGGAGAGUGCCUUCGGGAACGCAGUGACAGGUGGUGCAUGGCUGUCGUCAGCUCGUGUCGUGAGAUGUUGGGUUAAGUCCCGCAACGAGCGCAACCCACGUUUUUAGUUGCCAGCAUUCAGUUGGGCACUCUAGAAAGACUGCCGGUGACAAACCGGAGGAAGGUGUGGACGACGUCAAGUCAUCAUGCCCCUUACGCCUUGGGCUACACACGUACUACAAUGCUGCGGACAAAGAGUAGCGAUCUUGCAAAAGUUAGCUAAUCUCGUAAACCGUGGCUCAGUUCAGAUCGUAGGCUGCAACUCGCCUACGUGAAGGAGGAAUCGCUAGUAAUCGCAGGUCAGCAUACUGCGGUGAAUACGUUCCCGGGCCUUGUACACACCGCCCGUAAUCGAAUCCCGCGCCGCCAUGCGCCGGA
rnacentral:rRNA from 1 species